CGGCGGACGGGUGAGUAAUGUCUGGGAAACUGCCCGAUGGAGGGGGAUAACUACUGGAAACGGUAGCUAAUACCGCAUAACGUCGCAAGACCAAAGAGGGGGACCUUAGGGCCUCUUGCCAUCGGAUGUGCCCAGAUGGGAUUAGCUAGUAGGUGGGGUAACGGCUCACCUAGGCGACGAUCCCUAGCUGGUCUGAGAGGAUGACCAGCCACACUGGGACUGAGACACGGCCCAG
rnacentral:rRNA from 1 species